rnacentral:rRNA from 1 species
AUACGGAGGAUGCGAGCGUUAUCCGGAUUUAUUGGGUUUAAAGGGAGCGUAGGCGGACGCUUAAGUCAGUUGUGAAAGUUUGCGGCUCAACCGUAAAAUUGCAGUUGAUACUGGGUGUCUUGAGUACAGUAGAGGCAGGCGGAAUUCGUGGUGUAGCGGUGAAAUGCUUAGAUAUCACGAAGAACUCCGAUUGCGUAGGCAGCUGACCAGACCGCAAAUGACGCUCAUGCACGAAAGUGCGGGGAUCGAACAGGAUUAGAUACCCUGGUAGUCCGCACAGUAAACGAUGAAUACUUGUUUUCGGCGAUAUAAUGUCGGAGGCAAAGCGAAAGCGAUAAGUAUUCCACCUGGGGAGUACGCCGGCAACGGUGAAACUCAAAGGAAUUGACGGGG